ACCAAUUUAUUAUCUUCUUUAAGUGAUAGAUUUCUAUCUAAAACAGUGCAAGUUUUAAGUGCAGAUAAAAUACAUCAACAAUAAAUAUAUAUUAUUGUAAUUUUAUUAAAGAUAAAAAAAAACAAAUCAAUAAAAAUGGUUUGUCUGUAUUUUAAAAGCCACUUACCAAGCAAACAUUUAUUGCCAAUCAGAAAAUAUUAUUCAAUGAAGAUGUAUGUUCUUUCUGAGUAGCAUGAUUUCAUAGUAAAUCAGCAAAAUUACAGUAAAUUAUUUACUAUGUUACUAUGCAAGAAAAUGUACCUGUACUAAUUGCUCUAUACCUUUGCAACCAUUAAUGGGUAGUCAAUGCAUGUACAGGGGAGAAAAUAUCAACUUGAUAAUGCAUGUUCAACAACAGUUUUUACAGUUUUCUUUUAUGAUGACCUGAUAAUAAUGAAAUGAUAUUACAGGACUUUAAUUCUGAAACUUUCCAUUUGUACAGAAUUACCCAUCGAAUUAGAUACAAAAAAAUCUUAUAAUAUUUCUAUAAUGGAAAAGAACACUACAUUUAAGUUAUUUCACUCUGCAUUUAGAAUUUAAUGGAGGAUGUCAUAAUACUCUCUCUGAUCGUGGGAGUUUUUUCACCCCAGCAAAUGAGGUGGCUUUGGGAAUUCACACUUUCAUGAACUUUUUUUUUUUUCAAACAAGAAAGAAAGGUUUUACAUACUUUUAAAUGUACUUGUUUCACAUUCACAAUUUAAAAAUACCAGACUCAAAUAGAAAUAUUAGAAAAUGAAAAGUUAACAAAGGUCAGCAUAUUUAAAGUUAUUUUCUUAUGAUAUACUAAAGUUCUCUAAAGCUUUGAAAUGAAACAACAUUGCUGACAUGUAAUUUAGAUUUUUAGUAAUGCCAAUUCAUUGUUUACUGUUGCCUUAUUUAAUCUAAAUAUACAUGGACAAUGAUCUAUAAUUUAGUCUUAGAAUUUUCAAAGAUUUACAAUAUAAUCACAAAACAUCAAUGUGAAACUCCUCUUAUUGUUGACAAUGAUCAACCUUUUUACAAAACAAUAUUGUCAGAGUUCAAUCUAGUACACAAUUUAAUCAUUAAAUUUAUUUGCCUUUAUAAAUCAAACUGUUUAAAUUUUGAAAGAAUAUAAAAUUUCUGCAAUUAAAAUAAAUACCAUAAAUUAUUAUUUUUCUCUGGAAAAUGUUUUCCAAUCCAAGGUGAAAUGCGCAAAGUUAAGAAAAACGUUUUUUUUUAAAUAAAAUUGUCCGAUAUUAAUAAAGUUCUUUUCAUACUAAAAAAAUCCUUAGCUUGGUUAUUCUCUCACAGACCAAGCAAGUCAGCAUUGUAGUUAUCUCCCUUUGAACCAUUUUACAACUGUACAAUUUUACAAAUUUUACAACUAUACAAUUUUACAAAUUUUACAACUAUACAAUUUUACAAAUUUCAACUUUAAUUAUAACAAGACGGCAUCUUUUAUAUUGGAAUAUAUAAAACUAACAUAUGAAAAUAUGGCAAAAAUCAAACUUAUAACUAAAGGUAAUAUGAAUCUGCACUUUCAUCUUACUUAACUAUUAGUGUACAUUGUUGUACUAUCAAUCUACUAUUGGUCAAAUAUAAAACUUUAAUACACACUCCACCAACAUUGCUGACUAUACCAAACUUUUACAGUAGAAACAGUUAAGUAUUUUCUUAAUUUUUUUUUUGUGAAAAACAAUACAAACUGAAAUUUACGUACAACAUGUUUCGUUUACAACAAGACUUUGAAGAGAAAACACUGGCUACAGUAACCUCAUAAUAAUACACAACCAAAAAUCAUCCCUGAAUUAAAUAUUAGUGAAAUAUGAGAAAACUAUGACAAUUUAUUUUUUUAUAAUGCUUUAAAACAGCUGUUCCAGACCAUAUGAGUAUUUGGACCGUACGCGUACGGUCCAGCUGAUCAUACGUUUUGGGAUCAUAUGGGUUAAAUUUAAACAAACAUUUAUCAAAAUCUUUAUUUUUAGUUAUACAAAUUGUUAUUAUUACAAAAUAGAUGGCCGAUGAUAAAGUGAAUAAGCGAACAAUUGAAAUUAAAUAUUUGCUUAAUUGUAUAUCCGUGAAUUCUAUUUUGUUACUCUGGCCGAAGGUGACACUUGCUUCUAAUAAGAACGUCGUAUUUUUACAUUUACAUGUUUUGUUAAUGCAUGUUCCUUUGCGUAUGCAUUUCUUUUGUAAAGUUCAUAAAUAUUCUAAAGCAAUUGUCCUCCCACAUUAUGUUUACUUCCGAUAACUUCAAUUUCAAUGAGCAUACUGAGCUGCAAUUAAUGAAUUACCGGCCUGCAAAAUACAGGAAAUUAA
rnacentral:lncRNA from 1 species